AAAGAGUCUAUGAACGAAACGAGUACGUUUGAGCUGACAGUUUCAGAGAGCCGGCGGCGGUGAGAGCCCGGUACGUGUCGACAAACGGAAUGGAUUCGGGAGAUGCGCCCUGAACGGAAACCAGUAGGGAGUGCCGGUGUAUUUCCACCGUUAAUAAAGAAACGUGUAUCGCAUAAGCUGUACAUGAUGAGUCGGGCGCAAUGCCAAUUUGGGUGGUACCGCGGAAGAAUAUGUAACCUUUCGUCCCUUUA
rnacentral:ncRNA from 1 species